CCCCCGGUUGCUACUGCCGGUUUUUGUGGGGUCCGUCUAGGACUUUAUAGGUGAACCCUUUAGGUCCAGCCUCGCUAUCAAGAGGAUGGUCCUCCGGCUUAAGUCCGGGGCCUGGGUCAUGGUGCAACUGCGCAUUCCAUUUUCCACUGAUUGCUACCUUCAGUGGGACCCAGGUCUUCAAUGCCCUGCGAGGGGUGUUGCGCACAGCUCUCAAAAUGCAUAGAAUUAUUGCUGCGGUUAAAAAGCUCGUAGUUGGAUCUGUGCUGAGCGACCGGUCUUGCCCACUGGGCACGCACUGGCUCGCCCGGCUUUCCCUGCCGGUCUCUCUCUGACGUCGGUUUUAACCGGCUGGCGUCAGUGGGCUGGCGAGUUUACUUUGAACAAAUCAGAGUGCUUCAAACAGGCGUCUCGCCUGAAUGUUCGUGCAUGGAAUAAUAGAAGAGGAUCACGGUCCGAUUUUAUUGGUUUUGCUGACCGAGAUAAUGGUUAACAGAGACAAACGGGGCCAUUCGUAUUGCUACGUGAGAGGUGAAAUUCUUGGACCGUAGCAAGACGGACUACAGCGAAAGCAUUUGGCAAGAAUGUCUUCAUUAAUCAAGAACGAAAGUCAGAGGUUCGAAGGCGAUCAGAUACCGCCCUAGUUCUGACCGUAAACGAUGCCAACUAGCGAUCCGCCGGCGGAUUCAUUCGCCCUGGUGGGGAGCUUCCCGGAAACGAAAGUCUUCCGGUUCCGGGGGAAGUAUGGUUGCAAAGCUGAAACUUAAAGGAAUUGACGGAAGGGCACCACCAGGAGUGGAGCCUGCGGCUUAAUUUGACUCAACACGGGGAAACUCACCCGGCCCGGACACCGUAAGGAUUGACAGAUUGAUAGCUUUUUCAUGAUUCGGUGGAUGGUGGUGCAUGGCCGUUCUUAGUUCGUGGAGCGAUUUGUCUGGUUUAUUCCGAUAACGAGCGAGACUCUGGCCUACUAAAUAGUUGGCACAUUGCCACUGUGUGCACAACUUCUUAGAGGGAUUUUCGGUGUUCAGCCGCACGAAAUUGAGCAAUAACAGGUCUGUGAUGCCCUUAGAUGUCCGGGGCUGCACGCGCGCUACACUGGCAAAAUCAGCGUGCUUGUCCUCCCCCGAAAGGGGUUGGUAAACCGAUGAAAAUUUGCCGUGAUUGGGAUCGGACAUUGCAAUUAUUGUCCGUGAACGAGGAAUCCCUUGUAAGGGCGAGUCAUCAACUCGUCCUGAAUACGUCCCUGCCCUUUGUACACACCGCCCGUCGCUGCCCGGGACUGAGCCAUUUCGAGAAAACCGGGGAUUGUUGGCCUGACGGCUCUCGGGUCGUCUAGCCGAUGAGAACCGGCUUAAUCGCACUGGUUUGAACCGGGCAAAAGUCGUAACAAGGUAGCUGUAGGUGAACCUGCUGCUG
rnacentral:rRNA from 1 species